rnacentral:rRNA from 1 species
UAUUGCACAAUGGGCGCAAGCCUGAUGCAGCCAUGCCGCGUGUGUGAAGAAGGCCUUCGGGUUGUAAAGCACUUUCAGUCAGGAGGAAAGGUUAGUAGUUAAUACCUGCUAGCUGUGACGUUACUGACAGAAGAAGCACCGGCUAACUCCGUGCCAGCAGCCGCGGUAAUACGGAGGGUGCGAGCGUUAAUCGGAAUUACUGGGCGUAAAGCGUACGCAGGCGGUUUGUUAAGCGAGAUGUGAAAGCCCCGGGCUCAACCUGGGAACUGCAUUUCGAACUGGCAAACUAGAGUGUGAUAGAGGGUGGUAGAAUUUCAGGUGUAGCGGUGAAAUGCGUAGAGAUCUGAAGGAAUACCGAUGGCGAAGGCAGCCACCUGGGUCAACACUGACGCUCAUUACGAAG